rnacentral:rRNA from 1 species
CAGUAGCGUAUAUUAAAGUUGUUGCAGUUAAAAAGCUCGUAGUUGGAUUUCUGGCAAGACGAGACUGAUCCGGUACGCAAGUACUGAGUGUUGGUUUCUCGUCUGCCAUCCUCCCAGAAAACUGUUCUACCCUUCACUGGGCUCGGGAUAGCGAUCUGGAACUUUUACUUUGAAAAAUUAGAGUGUUCAAAGCAGGCUUGCGCUAUGAAUACAUUAGCAUGGAAUAAUAAUAUAGGAUUUCGGUUCUAUUUUGUUGGUUUCUAGGACUGGAGUAAUGAUUGAUAGGGAUAGUUGGGGGUGCUAGUAUUCAGCGGCCAGAGGUGAAAUUCUUGGAUUCGCUGAAGACUAACUUAUGCGAAAGCAUUCACCAAGGAUGUCUUCUUUAAUCAAGAACGAAAGUUGGGGGAUCGAAGACGAUCAGAUACCGU